CUUGGUGAGCAGGGAAAAGAGAGUGUAAGGGGGAGGAGCAGAGAGCACCGUCCGUCCGUCUGUCUGUUCCUGUCUGUCUCAUACAGUACAGUCAUCAACCAUUGGACUAGUAGCUACACAGUGGUUCACUGAAAUCAGCAGCUAUUGGACACAGUGACACCCCCUGCAAAGGCCUGAAACAUGGCACACAUCCAGAAGAAGACCAGCACCAUGUCCCUGACCAUCUCCAGCUCCUCCAAAGCAAUCUCCUCUUCCUCAUCCUCUUCCUCCACUGUGGUCCAGCAGCAGAGACACUCCAGCCUGGUGCAGCCCCUUUGUAUCAGCCCCCAGAGGACACAGAGUCCAUCCUACCCCCAACAGUAUUCAGGGAGUGGUGGCGUGGCCCCAACUUUUGUCAAGUGUCUCCAUGACGUCAGCACGGUCAAGGGUCAGCUGGUGGUUCUAGAGUGCCGUAUUCGUGGAACGCCACCACUGCAGGUUCUGUGGUACCGUGAGGACGAGCAGAUAGUGGACUCAGCUGAUUUCCACAUCCUCAGAAAGAAGGCUACUUCUGCAUCAGUGCCAGAGGAGCUGUGGACACUUGUCAUCACCGAGGCCUUCCCAGAGGACUCUGGGGUGUUCAAAUGUAUAGCUGGGAAUCAGUUGGGAACAGUAUCAUGCGACGCCAUACUGGAGGUGUACCUGGACCUGGAAGAGCAGUUGGAGAAUGAGAUGCCCAUGGAUGAGCAGCCCUUAGAGUCUACCAGGCUGGAACCUGAUGACUUUCCUUCUUUACUUAAUGACAUAGCAGGGAUUCCCCCUCCAGAGUGGCCUGAGAGCCCAGUCUGUGAGAUUGGUCAGCCACUUGAAGAACAGUGUCCAGGUCCAGAGCUGCAGGCACCCAGUAAAACCCUUGAGGAGCCCUUCAGUCUGAGUGAAAAGAGUAUCCACAGCUCAGAGGGUCAGAGGUCACCUGAAGCCAGCAGAACCACCCCAACCCCGCCAGCCGUGGGGAAAAAAACAACCCCCAAACUGUUCACUCCCAGCAAGCCCAGCUUCCAGAACCUCAGAGACUUUGGAGGCUGCAGCAUGAGCAGCAGUGUGGCCGACCUGCCCACCUUCUCCCCCAACCUCUUCGCCCCCAGCGCCUUCAACUAUGCUCGGCCACGCCAGUUCAUCCAGUCUCAGCCAGCCUUUCAGGCCCCCAGCUACGAUGUCGCCCAGGUUCUGCCUCAGCCCAACGGGAACAGCAGCAAGGCCUCUUCCUCCAAUCUGAACUUCCCCAUUUCUACCCCUGCAUCCUCACAGCCGACGGUGUUCCCUCGUGAUCCUCCUCUUCCCUCCUCUGCUGCCCAGCCCAUGUCCCUCUCUCGCGCCCCCAUGCGCUCCACUAUCACCCUCACCCCCAGGGCCAACACCAGUGUCCCAGCCCCGCCUGAGCCCAAGCCCCAGUCCUCUUCAGCUGCCUUCCUCUGCUCUGUCCUGCCCUCCCAGUCCGCCCCACAUUACAAGCCUGCUCCCAUGUCUAUUCCUCAGCCUCUAUCCCCAGCUCGCUCCCCACACUCCCCCAACCCCCCCAGCCCUCUGCCCAAGCCCAGGUUUGAUGCCUCCCUGCACAUGGGACAGGGACUCUCUCUCCCUACACAGAGCCUGCCUAUAAGUCAGUCUCCCCACUCUCCAACUCCCCCCCCAGUUUCCAUGCCACAGCCCCCCUUUCCUCCUCCCUCAUGUGUGUCUCUGCCUCCUAGCUACAGAGGGACCCCAAACAUCCUUCCCAAGCCCACCGUGAAGAAGGCUCCUGUUCCUAGGCCAGGGUCCCGCAACACGGAUGAGGAUAUCCAGGGUUCCAAGGACGCCCUGAUCCAGGAUCUGGAGAAGAAACUGCGCACCAAAGAGGCCCGUAGGCGAAACAGCCAGAAGCUGUCCUAUGAGGAGCGCAUGGCUCGGAGGUUGCUGGGUCCAGAUAACGCUGCCUCUGUCUUUGACUUUGAGAAUUCCUCACAACCCGACCAGCCAGAAUCACCAGAGGGACGUAACACCGGAGGAAUAUGGGGAAAACACCACUCUGGUACUGAUGGCAACGAGGGCUCAGCCAUCCAGGAGAAGUGCUAUGCCCCGCGCUUCAUCCAGGUCCCCCAGGACCUCACGGUGGAGGAGGGCAGGUUCUGUAGGAUCGACUUCAAGUGUAAUGAAAGCCUCUGGAAACCAAACAUGAAACCCAAUGGCCCCUGUGGACAGAAUAACCAGGUGGGGGGUCUGCCCACCCCAGACGUGUCCUGGUACCUGGAUGGUAAAGCCAUCCGUCCGGACGACUACCACAAGAUGCUGGUGUGUGAGAAGGGCAUGCACUCCUUCAUCAUCGAGAUCGUUACGGUGCAUCACGCUGGAGUCUACGAGUGUAUUGCCAGGAACCGCGCCGGGGAGAACCGCUUCUCCAUGAAACUGGAGGUUAUCGCCCAGGAGGUGCUUCGCCCCCCUACCUUCGUCCAGAAGAUGCUGAACUCUCGUGCCCUGGAGGGGGACACAGUGAGGUUAGAGUGUAAGGUGGCUGCCUCCCCUCCACCAAAGCUCUUCUGGAAAAAGGACAAAGACAUGCUGCGCAUUGACCCCACCAGGAUGAGCCUGUACCAGGACAGUACAGGAAGUCAGUGCCUGCUCAUUGAGAGGUUAGUCAAAUCUGAUGCAGGCUGGUACACCCUGUCUGCCAUCAACGAGGCCGGCAUGUCAACCUGCAACGCCAGACUGGACGUAGGAAGUAAGUGGACCUUGUGCGUUUGUGCAUGCAUGGUUUGUGUUUGUGGCUUGAAGUUAAGCACAGACUAGUGUUCAGUUCAGAGUUAAAUUGUCCGUUCCCUGUCCAUUACCUAUUACUGUAUGGUAGAUGUUUAGAAUUCAACUCAUAAACACCACAUAAAUGCUGUGGCCAUCAACCUGCUGACAUCUACACUAGUGGGACAAGCAGGGAUUACAGCGCUGUUUACAUACGAGACAGACAAUGCUGUAACCUUGCACUCACAAUGUCUGCUAUGGCAGGGCAUUGAAAUGGCAAUGGCAUACUACACUAAUGUACUAUGAAUUACCAGUGUUGUACAAUAACUUAUGUACUGUAACAGCAGGGGGAAAUGGUCUGUUAUUCAAUAUUUGUAGCACUUUCUCCUGUUAGAAUGAAGGAGAGGGGCCUCUUUCUAUCUUGCGUUUCUCCACAGUGUGAAUAGAGGGUAAUUCCCUGUCAUUUAUCCCCCGUCCCGCAAAUGGUUGCCAUGGCAGGUUGUUAAGGCUGAUAGAAACCCAUAGCGGAUAUAUUAUUAGUAGGAAAAUGAGAGGCCGCUGUAUUCAUUGUGCCUGGCUGGCUAUUGUAUUUCUCCUCGAUCACAUAACAUGCCAUCUGUUACGCGCACCGAGAGCGGCCAUGGUGAGGCUCACCUCCAUUCAGCGUAGCUCGCUGAAGAAGUCAAGUCUGUAAUUGAUCAGCUCGCACCAACAAGCCUGCCCCCCCUAAAGGCAAACAUUUUAAAAUCCCCCUCUUCAGCCAUCUCCCCAUCCUGACUCCGGAC